AAUCUGCUGCUGGGCACCUUUGAUUUGGAUACUUUGCUGAAAAGCAACCUGAAUGGUGGGAAGCCAACCAGAGGGGAUGGGGAGCAGCUGGUCGCCCUUGACCAAAUUAAAAAGGCAGCCAUUAUUGAUGCUACAUUGAAGAAGUGGCCGGCAGCCAGCCGAGGGCAGAUAGGCACAUCUAUCAAUUCGAAGCUCACGGAGCUGAGAAGAUCAACAAGA